GAUGGGAUGAGAAUUGUCCCUAUAGUCUAUUUUGUCAGCUCUGUUGUGUCAGUUUGGACCUUCAGCAGGGGCACAAUAACUGAUGGUGAAAAAUGAAUCCUAUUUGAUGACUGACCUUCCUAGGAACAGAAGAUUCUCCAGAAAGACAUCAGAGCUAUUGGUUCCCAGCUGCUGCCAGGUCCUUUCACUUUAGCAACAGAUUGCUCCUGAAUUUAUACCCGGGCCAUACAUGUCUAUGACUUCCCUCUCCUGCUUCUACACAUGAGCUUGGGGUGAGAAUGCAGCCCUCCAAUUUAAGAAUUGCAGUACUUCUGCCCAAUUUUCCUGCACACCCACGUGUAUGUGAUCAAUGGCCAGGGACAUUUUAGAACAUCCCGUUUCUCAGGUCAGGCAGUAUGAUGCCCUUUGAAAAUCCCUGUGUCAGGGAAGAAAG